rnacentral:rRNA from 1 species
UAAACUGAAGAGUUUGAUCAUGGCUCAGAUUGAACGCUGGCGGCAGGCCUAACACAUGCAAGUCGAGCGGUAGAGAAGGAGCUUGCUUCUUCUUGAGAGCGGCGGACGGGUGAGUAAUGCCUAGGAAUCUGCCUGGUAGUGGGGGACAACGUUUCGAAAGGAACGCUAAUACCGCAUACGUCCUACGGGAG